AAAAAAGCAAACCCUAAGUUUCCAUGUCCAACUUUGAGUGUCCGUCUUAUAUAAAAUUUGUUUAUAAUUCGUAAUUUUAUUGUAGUUAGAUGAUAAAAUAUGAUUAAUAUUUUAUACGUGACUUGUCUUUUUAAUUUUUUUAUAAUUUUUUUAAAUAAGACGGACGGUUAAACGUUGGGCACGGAAACUAGGGUUUAUCUUUUU
rfam:Oryza barthii chromosome 5, whole genome shotgun sequence.